rnacentral:tRNA from 11 species
GCGGGAGUAGCUCAGUUGGUAGAGCACAACCUUGCCAAGGUUGGGGUCGCGGGUUCGAGUCCCGUCUCCCGCUCCA